CCCGACUGCUAUUUGGGUGAGGAUAAGCCAUGCGAGUUGAAUGGGAUACCUAAAUUUCCCAUAGCGAACUGCUCAGUAACACAUGAUCAACUUACCCUAUAGAGAAACAUAACCUCGGGAAACUGAGGAUAAUAUUUCAUAGUUGAAUAGGCUUGGAAAAGUUUUUCAAUAAAAGAGAUAAAAAAAAUGGUUUUUAUCUGCUAUAGGAUAGGAUCGUGUUCGAUUAUGGUUGUUGGUGAGGUAAUGGCUCACCAAGCCGAUAAUCGAUAGGGGCCGUGAGAGCGGGAGCCCCGAGAUGGGUACUGAGACAACGACCCAGGCCUUACGAGGCGCAGCAGGCGCGAAACCUCCGCAAUACACGAAGGUGUGACGGGGUUACCCAAAGUGUUCAUUAGAACUGUGGUAAGUGAGUAAUGUUCCCUACUAGAAAGGAGAGGGCAAGGCUGGUGCCAGCCGCCGCGGUAAAACAGCUCUUCAAGUGGUCGGGAUAAUAUUGGGCUUAAAGUGUCCGUAGCCGGUUUAGUAAGUUCCUGGUAAAAUCGGGUAGCUUAACUAUCUAUAUGCUAGGAAUACUACUAUACUAGAGGGCGGGAGAGGUCUGAGGUACUACAGGGGUAGGGGUGAAAUCUUAUAAUCCUUGUAGGACCACCAGUGGCGAAGGCGUCAGACUGGAACGCGCCUGACGGUGAGGGACGAAAGCCAGGGGAGCGAACCGGAUUAGAUACCCGGGUAGUCCUGGCCGUAAACGAUGCAUACUAGGUGAUGGUACGGCCAUGAGCCAUAUCAGUGCCGUAGGGAAACCGUUAAGUGUGCCGCCUGGGAAGUACGGUCGCAAGGCUAAAACUUAAAGGAAUUGGCGGGGGAGCACCACAAGGGGUGAAGCCUGCGGUUCA
rnacentral:rRNA from 1 species